AUACGUAGGUGACAAGCGUUAUCCGGAUUUACUGGGCGUAAAGGGCGUGUAGGCGGUCUUGCAAGUCAGAAGUGAAAUUCCUGAGCUCAACUCGGGCGCUGCUUCUGAAACUGCAGGACUUGAGUGCUGGAGGGGAUAGCGGGAUUCCUAGUGGAGCGGUAAAAUGCGCAGAUAUUAGGAAGAACACCGGUGGCGAAGGCGGCUAUCUGGACAGUAACGGACGCUGAGGCGCGAAAGCGUGGGGAGCAAACAGGAUUAGAUGCCCUGGUAGUCCACGCCGUAAACGAUGAAUACUAGGUGUAGGGGGUAUCGACUCCCUCUGUGCCGCAGUUAACACAAUAAGUAUUCCACCUGGGGAGUACGAUCGCAAGAUUGAAACUCAAAGGAAUUGACGGGG
rnacentral:rRNA from 1 species